rnacentral:rRNA from 1 species
UACGAAGGGGGCUAGCGUUGCUCGGAAUCACUGGGCGUAAAGGGCGCGUAGGCGGGUCUUUAAGUCAGGGGUGAAAUCCCGGAGCUCAACUCCAGAACUGCCUUUGAUACUGAGGAUCUUGAGUUCGGGAGAGGUGAGUGGAACUGCGAGUGUAGAGGUGAAAUUCGUAGAUAUUCGCAAGAACACCAGUGGCGAAGGCGGCUCACUGGCCCGAUACUGACGCUGAGGCACGAAAGCCAGGGGAGCAAACGGG